rnacentral:tRNA from 1 species
UCUUAGCUCAGCAGGUCAGAGCAGCAGACUCAUAAUCUGAAGGUCGUAGGUUCAAUCCCUACAGGGUC